CGAAGGGAAAGGUCUCAAGCUAUAUGAAAUUGGAUCUCGGACCUUACCACGUGAUUGACUCCAUUGCAAAAGGCUCGUCCUCCUCCCUCCAGUCGCCUGGUUUAUCACUUGCUUAAGAGUCAGUCCUUGCAUCCGCAUCUGAGACAGAAAGAAAGCAAUCCGCCGAUCAUCUCUCUUUUUAUCGUAUCUAAUAAGAAGAAGUGAAGUACUUUUUUCGUUUGGUUAAAAGCAAGGGUCUGGAUUGCCAGUCAGGCUGGUGGAAUCAGCAAAUCAGUGCUUCGCCUUAGCUGGGUGCUGCGCUAAGCAAGCCUGGAUUAUUACGGA
rnacentral:lncRNA from 1 species